GAUGAACGCUAGCGGCAGGCUUAAUACAUGCAAGUCGAGGGGCAGCAUGAUUGUAGCAAUACAAUUGAUGGCGACCGGCAAACGGGUGCGGAACACGUACACAACCUUCCAACAAGUGGGGGAUAGCCCAGAGAAAUUUGGAUUAAUACCCCGUAACAUAGCGAUGUGGCAUCACAUUGCUAUUAUAGAUUUUUCGCUUGUUGAUGGGUGUGCGGCUGAUUAGAUAGUUGGCGGGGUAACGGCCCACCAAGUCUACGAUCAGUAGCUGAUGUGAGAGCAUGAUCAGCCACACGGGCACUGAGACACGGGCCCGACUCCUACGGGAGGCAGCAGUAAGGAAUAUUGGACAAUGGACGCAAGUCUGAUCCAGCCAUGCCGCGUGAAGGAUUAAGGUCCUCUGGAUUGUAAACUUCUUUUAUAAGGGACGAAAAAAGGCUUUUCUAAGUCGUCUGACGGUACCUUAUGAAUAAGCACCGGCUAACUCCGUACCAGCAGCCGCAGUAACAC
rnacentral:rRNA from 1 species